CAUAGCAUGAAGUCAAAC
rnacentral:rRNA from 1 species